UACGUAGGGGGCAAGCGUUGUCCGGAAUCAUUGGGCGUAAAGAGCGUGUAGGCGGUUCGGUAAGUCCGCUGUGAAAGUCGAGGGCUCAACCCUUGAAUGCCGGUGGAAACUGUCGAACUAGAGUCCGGAAGAGGCGAGUGGAAUUCCUGGUGUAGCGGUGAAAUGCGCAGAUAUCAGGAGGAACACCGAUGGCGAAGGCAGCUCGCUGGGACGGUACUGACGCUGAGACGCGAAAGCGUGGGGAGCAAACAGGAUUAGAAACCCCCGUAGUCC
rnacentral:rRNA from 1 species